rnacentral:tRNA from 1 species
GCAGUGGUGGUUCAGUACUAGAAUUUUCACCUUCUGUGCAGGAGACCCAGGUUCGAUCCUUGGCCAGUGCA